ACUGUGCUGUGAACUCAAAAACUGCAAUUGAUUAACCAUUACUUACAAACUAAAUAAAUACUGAAUAACUAAAUCCCUCACACACAAUGAAAAAAAAAACGCGCUUUUAUUUUGACACGCGCCCAUCCCCCCACAUCUCACGGUCUGACUGGAGUCGAGUUUCACAGAGCAACGCAACAGGAGGAUGACACAACAGUUAUAAGAGCAUUAACAGUAAGGACUAAUAUUAACUGACUGUCUGUCCUCAACCAAAGUCAUUCAAGACCUGUAAAAGCACAAACGUUUCCCGCGCAAGUUUGAAUCUCUCUCAGUCAGGGGAGAUUGACUGACUGACUGACUGACUGACUGACUGUCUACACGCCACCAAACAGUAAUUUAUACAGAAACCUUUUAAAGUAAGGACUAACAUUAACUGACUGUCUGUCUGUCUGUCUGUUCUCAAGCAAAGUCAUUCAAGACCUGUUAAAGCACAAACGUUUCCCGCGCAAGUUUGAAUCUCUCUCAGUCAGGGGAGAUUGACUGACUGACUGACUGACUGACUGACUGUCUACACGCCACCAAACAGUAAUUUAUACAGAAACCUUUUAAAGUAAGGACUAACAUUAACUGACUGUCUGUCUGUCUGUCUGUUCUCAAGCAAAGUCAUUCAAGACCUGUUAAAGCACAAACGUUUCCCGCGCAAGUUUGAAUCUCUCUCAGUCAGGGGAGAUUGACUGACUGACUGACUGACUGACUGUCUACACGCCACCAAACAGUAAUUUAUACAGAAACCUUUUAAAGUAAGGACUAACAUUAACUGACUGUCUGUCUGUCUGUCUGUUCUCAAGCAAAGUCAUUCAAGACCUGUUAAAGCACAAACGUUUCCCGCGCAAGUUUGAAUCUCUCUCAGUCAGGGGAGAUUGACUGACUGACUGACUGACUGACUGACUGUCUACACGCCACCAAACAGUAAUUUAUACAGAAACCUUUUAAAGUAAGGACUAACAUUAACUGACUGUCUGUCUGUCUGUCUGUUCUCAAGCAAAGUCAUUCAAGACCUGUUAAAGCACAAACGUUUCCCGCGCAAGUUUGAAUCUCUCUCAGUCAGGGGAGAUUGACUGACUGACUGACUGUCUACACGCCACCAAACAGUAAUUUAUACAGAAACCUUUUAAAGUAAGGACUAAGGUUAACUGACUGUCUGUCUGUCUGUCUGUCGGUUCUCAACCAAAGUCAUUAAAGACCUGUUAAAGUAAGGACUAACGUUAACUGACUGUCUGUCUGUCUGCUCUCAACCAAACAGUCAUUCAAGACCUUUCAAAGUUUAGCACAAAAGUUUCCAGCACAAGUUUGGAUCUUUACCAUUGAGGGUGGCUGACUGUUCUCGACCAACCAUCAUUCACACGCAAAAACUUUAAAGAUAAGUAUGAACGUGCCCAGAGCAGUUUUCGAUCUUUACCAUUAAGGAGGCUGACUGACUAUCCUCUACCACCCGUCAUUAACACAACAAAAACUAAAGAAAUGUUACUCCAUAUGGACCUAUUCAUUUACUCAUUAUGCUGUGAGUACACCACAGUUUUAUCAGUGAAAAAAUUUAUAUUUGUGUGUUUUCUCACUGCUUGGCAAGGACAGAUGUGGCCCUGUUAAAAAUGUUUAAAUGUUGUUUGGUUAAGGAACAGCACACUGAUUUUGUUUUAAAAUAUUCCUGUUUGGACAGUCUGUUAAAGUCAAAGGAAUACUUGAUAUAUUUCUAAGUAAAGUGUAAAUGAAAAAAUUAGUUUUUAAUGUUGUGACUGAACACAAUGUUGUGAAUGAUUUGGACUGAACAGCACACUUCUGUUUUAUAUCUGAACCUUUUGUAAAAUAAAUGAUUGUUCAUUAAACUCACUGUGUAUUUUAUCUUUUCUGUUAUCAUUUUUUUAUACUAAUGUUUAAAAUUUACCUUUACUCUAAACAAUUGGCUAAACCAACACAAAUACACUGAGUCAUAUGCACUUAUAAUUUAAAGUUUACAAUAUUUAGAUUGAGAUAUAUGUAUAAGUUUUAAAACCAUGAGUGUACCCUGUCAAAGCCAUUUUUGUACCCUUUUUGAAGGGUCCAUAUUUGUACUGUUAAAUAAAGGUACAAAAUUGUCACUAGAGGUACAAAACUGGUCCCUUAAGGUACAAAUCACAAGGGUACAAUUUUGUACCCUCUGCCAAGGGUACAAAAACUGUACCCUUGAGGGUACAGCCCCAGUGACAAGCCAUUGUACCCCUAAA